ensembl:lncRNA
AUGACAAGCUCUUCCUAUUCAAGAUGGAGUUGCUUUGGCUCACAUGCCUCUGACAAGAUCAACAGCAGAAAUAAAGAGUGCAGCGGUGCGAUCUUGACUCACUGCAACCUCUGCCUCCUGGCUUCAAGUGAUCCUCCUGCCUCAACCUCUCAAGUAGCUGGGACUACAGGUGGGCACCACCACACCCAGCUAAUUCAUGUUUUUAGUAGAGGUAGGGUUUCACCAUGUUGGCCAGAUGGUCUUGAUCUCUUGACCUCAUGAUCUGCCCACCUCAGACUCCCAGGGUGCUGGGAUUACAGGUGUGUGCCACUGUGCUUGACCAAUGUCUCCAUUUUUUAAAAACCACUUUCACACCUGAGUGUCCAAAUAAUUGGGACAAGGAAAAUAAAGCUACUGAAAUAUGGAAAGAAGACUAACACUAACUUUUAAACUGAUGUUCUAUUAAUGUAGACCCAUACAUCAUAUUACUUCUACAUUGUUUAAGCAUUAAAGUUGACACUGUAACUGGCUCUUUAAACCUUUCCCUCCAUUCCUUUUCCUCUCUUUUUUCCUUCAAUUGAUGUGAUUUAUUUUAAUACUGACUCCUGACACUGCAUUCUGAAAUAUCUUGGGAGAAAGGCAUCAUUCUUUGUAUUCCAAAGUCAAUUAAGCAACAUGAGGAAUUUGUAUCCAUCUAAAAAAUAUUUUCCUCAAUAUUUCCUCAGAAUUUAAAAUGAAUAUCACUUUUUCCAAUAGGAAGAAACUUGUAUUUCAUGAAUUUGAUGAUAAAGCAGGAAUAUGAUGCAAUAUAUUUAAUUCUGAAAUAUUUGCAUAAUAGAAGUAAGAUGUAGUAUAACUACUCCAAAUAGUGACUAAAACAAAAAUAAUGUACAUUCAGCUUGGCAUUUGUUUUUUGUAUUUUUUUAAUGUAAAAGGUUUAUUUUCUUCUUGUUUAUGCAAGUAAUUAAAAUUAAUGUUUUUGGAUGUGUCCAAAAAAGAAUUGAGAUUUCCUCUCCCCCCUCCACCCCAACACACACAAAAGUCCAUCUAGCAAGUAACUUCUUGUACAUAAGUUGAAUGUGGAAAUUUAAUGGAAUGGUGGUUGCAGAUGCUCUCAAAGAGCAAGUCCUGACAUUAGGAAAAACAUUCUGAGAAAACCAAAAAGAAGCUAUAACAUGUAAAGUAUAGGUAACAAGGGUUUAGAAUUUCAGGAGACUACAUGAAAUCUCAAGAAACAAGAAAAAUAGGAGACUCAUGAGAAAAGGAAUGAAUUGCUUAAUAUUUUUAAAACCUAGCUUUCUCAAAUUCUGAGCAGUACUGAAAAUACACAAAAUAUUCAUGAAGGGAGACGCAUGAUUCAUCCUUUUAAUUCAUUUACUUAUCUCAAAUGGAUCCACAAUAUACAUGGGAAACUGCAGAUUUCAAGAGUUAGAACCAGAAUUUAUCAACCCACAGAUAUCUGAUGACAUGAUGGGAAAGCUCUCUUGGAUCUUGGAUUAGUCUCUGUGUGAGCCUUUCAAUGCUGCUCAGAACCAGGAAAUUACACUAGGUUUCUUUUUUGUUACUAAAAUUUGGCUUUUAGUCAGAGUUAAGGGCAAUGUUAGGUGUAAAUCAUAAGAGUAUUUGGUCCAACUAAAAUAUUAUUUUUGAACUGUGUCUUAGAGUAGACCCUCAUAUGUAUCAGCUGUUCCCAGGCAGAGCAGUUAAAAAAAAAAUCUGUUCAAAAAAACACUGUUUACUUAAUCCUAUCUCCUAAUAUUGUGCUUUAAAAUGAUUGUGACAAUACUGGGAAAAAGAUCGGGCUUUUCUGUUUUGCAUUCAUAGAAAGAAAAUUUUAUUUAAAUAAUAAAGCAAAGGAAUACAGGACUUAAAACAGUUUUUUCAUAUCUUAGUUUCUACAAGUUGUGACCUUUUAGUUUUAGUUAAGAGGAAAUCUCCGUUACACUCUUCCCAUUAUCUAAAAGCUUCCUAAGACUCUGUCUUCUUUUCUCCCCUUUCCUUCACUGCCAGCCCCUACCUUGUUUCCUUUACUUUUGCCCAGCCAUGCUACUUUGGUAGGUAGGAUCUUUUCAGUUCUAGCUAUGGACCCAGAUGCAUUCCAGACUGGGACAUUAAGUACAUCAGAAGUCCCAUAUUCUAUAUCUAAUGAGUCUUGAAAUUAGAUCUUGUGGCCCAUAUCAACUCUAUUCUUGAGCCUCGGGAUUCUGGAUGAUUUCUCUGCAACCCACUUAUGACCUAGGGCACAAUUGCUACCUCAUGCUCUUGUCUGACAAGCUCAUUCUCCUGAAAGGAUUGUCAUAGGUGUUUGAACCAGAGCAAUUCCAUCUUGAAUAGGGGCUGGGUAAAAUAAGGCUGAGACCUACUGGGCUGCGUUACCAGGAGGUUAGGCGUUCUUAGUCACAGGAUGAGACAGGAGGUUGUAUUUUCACAAAGACCUCAAUGAUAAAACAGAUUGCGGUAAAGAAACUGGCCAAAACCUACCAAAACGAAGAUGGUGACAAAAGUGACCUCUGGUCAUCCUCACUGGUCAUUAUAUGCUAAUUAUAAUGCAUUUUGUAUGCUAAAAGACAUGGCCACCAGCACCAUGACAGUUUACAAAUGCCAGGGCGAUGUCCAGAAGUUCCUUAUAUGGUCUAAAAAGGAGAGAAGCCCUAAUUUCUGGGAAUUGUCCAGCCCUUUCCAAGUAAACUCAUGAAUAAUUCAUCUUUUGUUUAGCAUAUAAUGAAAAAAUAACUAUAACUAUACUCAGUUGAGUAGCCCAUGCUACUGUUCUGCCUGUAGGGUAGCCAAUCUUUCAUUCCUUUUUUUUUUUUUUUGAGACAGAGUCUUGCUCUGUCAUCUAGGCUGGAGUGCAGUGGCAUGAUCUUAGCUCACUGCAACCUCUGACUCCUAGUUCAAGCGAUUCUCCUGCCUUAGCCUCCCGACUAGCUGGAAAUACAGGCGCAUGCCACCACAUCUACUAAAAAUAAUUUUUUGUAUUUUUAGUAGAGACAGGGUUUUACUGUGUUAGCCAGGGUGGUCUCCAUCUCCUGACCUCGUGAUCCAUCCACCUCUGUCUCCCAAAGUGCUGGGAUUACAGGCGUGAGCCACCACAUCCAGCCUCCUUUACUUUUUUCUAAUAAACUUGCCUUCACUUUGCUCUGUGGAACUGCCCCAAAUUCUUUCUUGUGCGAGGUCCCAGAAUCCCCUCUCGGGGUCUGGAUUGGGACCCCUUUCUAGUAAAGAAUGAAUAUUUGCCUUGAGCCCAGACUGUGUCUAGUUCUGCUCGCCUCCUUCCCCAGCAGGUUGGAUUCUAUAUCCUGUUUCUCUUCCUGUGAAUCAUGGGUAUCACACCUUGAAUAUAGCAUGUCUCCAUGAGUAUGCCUUGUAAAAAUAUAUCUCCCACCACUGCUUAUUACUUCCUAUAUUCAUGGAAGCUUGAACUAGGUCUGAAAUUUCAUAAUGUGUUUUGUGGAAUUGCUCACCCGGUUGCUCUUACUAGGGCCAGACUCUUAGUUCGGUUUUCCCACCUCCCAUGGGCCUGGCUUAUUCGUUCCUUCCUGCUCACUCCUCUCUACUAACUUGUUUGCGGAGGCUUUGGCAUGACUUAUUCAUGUUUCCAUUAAUAUAUCUACACACCUAGACCCUUGGUGACACUCUAUCUUUCAUAACUAUAUUUAGGAAAUGUAUAGAGCCCUCUGCUUUCCAUUGGAGCUCUGCCCCUCUUGGUCCAAAGCCCAUCAAAGAUAAUGAAGAAAAAUAAUUUUCUCCUGUUUCUUUAUUGUGCCUAGUUUCCCCAUCACCAUCUCCAACAACACACAAUAAAACCACCCUCCCACCAAAAAUCACAAGCUUGAUGAAGAGGGUCUAAUAAAUUAGAGGGUGUUAAGGAAGUCUGGAGUGGCUGCAACAGAGAAAAACAUAGAGUUAGAACUGAUCUUAGUGAGGUAUAUUGAAGCCAAAAAGCCUAAGCCUUGUGGUCCAUAGAAAUGGAAUGAUGUAUAAUUUGUCAUCCAAAUGAACCCUUUUCGGGAGUAAAAGGAGCACUAUCAAUAAUUUCACCAAAACAGUGAGGUAAAAUGACACUAUACAGGACUAACUGGAAAGUAUGGUCAACUUAUGAAUAAAAGAAUUUUGUUUCUGGUCUAAGAGCAAUAAGGAAUCCAUUAGUGAGUUUCAGAGUCAUGCAUGAUUUGAUGAUUCAUGGGUUCCAUAUGCAUGGAUUCAACCAAUCUCACAUCAAAAACACUCCAAUAAAAAUAGCAAUACAACAUUAGAAAAUAACACAAAAUACAGGAUAACAACUAUUUACAUAGUAUUUCCAUUGUAUUGGAGAUAAGUAAUCUAGAGAUGAUUUAAAGCAUAUGGGAUUAUUUCAUAGAUUAUAUGCAAAUACUAUGUCAUUUUAUAUCAGGAACUUGAGCUUCUGCAGAUUUUGGUAUCUACAGAAGGUUCCUUUAGCCAAUAACCUAUGACUUUCAAAGGACAGAGAUGAAAGUAU